UACAGAGGUCUCAAGCGUUGUUCGGAUUCAUUGGGCGUAAAGGGUGCGUAGGCGGGUCUUUAAGUCAGGGGUGAAAUCCUGGAGCUCAACUCCAGAACUGCCUUUGAUACUGAGGAUCUUGAGUACGGGAGAGGUGAGUGGAACUGCGAGUGUAGAGGUGAAAUUCGUAGAUAUUCGCAAGAACACAGUGGCGAAGGCGGCUCACUGGCCCGUUACUGACGCUGAGGCACGAAAGCGUGGGGAGCAAACAGG
rnacentral:rRNA from 1 species